rnacentral:rRNA from 1 species
CAAGUCGAGGGGCAGCACAGGUAGUAAUACUGGGUGGCGACCGGCAAACGGGUGCGGAACACGUACACAACCUUCCUUUUGGUGGGGGAUAGCCUUUGGAAACGGAGAUUAAUACCCCAUAAUACAUUUGAACUGCAUAGUUUUUAUGUUAAAGAUUUAUCGCCGGAAGAUGGGUGUGCGUAUGAUUAGGUAGUUGGUAGGGUAACGGCCUACCAAGCCGACGAUCAUUAACUGGUGUGAGAGCACGACCAGUCACACGGGCACUGAGACACGGGCCCGACUCCUACGGGAGGCAGCAGUAAGGAAUAUUGGUCAAUGGACGGAAGUCUGAACCAGCCAUGCCGCGUGGAGGAUGAAGGUCCUCUGGAUUGUAAACUUCUUUUAUAGGGGGCGAAAAAAGGGAAUUCUUUCUCGUCUGACGGUACCCUAUGAAUAAGCACCGGCUAACUCCGUGCCAGCAGCCGCGGUAAUACGGAGGGUGCAAGCGUUAUCCGGAUUCACUGGGUUUAAAGGGAGCGUAGGCGGGCAGUUAAGUCCGUGGUGAAAGCCCUCAGCUCAACUGAGGAACUGCCAUGGAUACUAUUUGUCUUGAAUGUCGUUGAGGUUUGCGGAAUGGGUCAUGUAGCGGUGAAAUGCUUAGAUAUGACCCGGAACACCAAUUGCGAAGGCAGCAGGCUAAACGAAUAUUGACGCUGAGGCUCGAAAGCGUGGGGAUCAAACAGGAUUAGAUACCCUGGUAGUCCACGCCCUAAACGAUGAUUACUCGACAUACGUGAUAUGACAAUGUGUGUCUGAGCGAAAGCAUUAAGUAAUCCACCUGGGAAGUACGACCGCAAGGUUGAAACUCAAAGGAAUUGACGG